UUAAAGGGAGGGAGGGGGUAGACUGGCACAAGGCGCGACACUGUUGCGUCUGCAUGUUUUUUUUUCCCUUCUUGAACAGAGGCGAAUAAAUAGGACCAGGGGGACUGUCCGACUUGUAUUCCAAAAGACAAUUCGCCCCCCCCCCCCUCCCCCCUUCUCUCACACCCUCAAAUGGAUAAUCUUGCUCAUUUUGGGAUGCGAUCAGAUAUUACUGAGGCGGUGGUGGUGGUGGUGGAUGGAUGGACGGUGGAGAAGUUGAACUUGAAGACGCGGUCUUCUCCAGAGAACCAGCCUGUCCCUGUCCCUGCACGGCUCCAGGAUGCUGACACCUGCCCGACACGCAGGUAACACAACCGGGCAGCAUCACCCAGUCUGCUCCUCCAGACACCGAGGCAGCUUAUCUCUGGAGUGGCAUGGAAUCGGGCCCACAACCACCAGCGAAGCUGAGCUGAACAGAACUGAGCUUUAGAGCCCUGCUGAGACCUGCCAGAUCCACAGCUUCCCCCCGCCAGGGCCUCGGCUCACAGUCAGAGUGAGUUACAAGCCCUGUGACUGACACACACACACACAUGCACGCACGCACACACACACACACAUAUACACACACACGCACACACACACAUACACACACUAUACAUAUUUUAAACAUGUACAGAAUGUAGGCAGGCAAGAGCAAGUAUGGAACACAUACUGUAGUAUAUGUACAUUUGACCAAAACACAUGCAGCCAGAAAAAACAUCUACACCUACACAGAGACAGUAUGGAGUGGAUGUAGCUACUGUGAUGAUGUUUUAGGAUGUCUGUCUUGAAGCCUUGACUAUGCUUUUUAGCCCUCUGGAAACACAUUUUUUUACCCAAAAAGAAGAGCAACAGGUGAAAUUCAGCAAGCCCAUUAUACUAAUUUACAGAAUAGAUAAAACAGUAUAUUUGAUUAACCAUGUGUGAAAAGAAUCAUCAAGGUCCUGCCAAUAUAACCUUUUAACCACAGCUACAGAGAUUAUAGAAAAAAGGGUUUUUUUGGACAAUAAACAGAAUCUCACAAAGUGUGAUUCAGCAUGCAAAAAGACUGUCAGUCACACCUCUCAAUGCAGCAGAAAUUUCUGUUUAUAAUCAUUGUAAAAUCAUUGUAAUGGAGUAAAAAUUUACACAAGGGCCACCAGUGCACUAACUGGAAGGUCCAAAUGAAGGAAAUGAAACCAUAGUGACUCCUGGAAAAACUCUGACUCUGUAUUUCUAGAAAGAAACUCGGUCAAAGUCAGUUAGAAAUACUAAUGAUACAUAAAGAUACUAAUGUACACACAUCAAUACUCAUACAUAAUGAUAGCCAACUAAUUAUGUCCCUAGUUAACAUAAGUGGAGAUGGACGCUCAUGGUUUGUCCUUGAAUAAAUUCUUGAAUUAAACACUGCAGUUAGGAGUAAGAACACACAUACACGUAGAUAAGGUACAUGUAAAUGAAAUAAGUGCACCCUACUUGGACAUAUAUAGUGACUGAAAAUGUCCUUGCACAGGAGGUCUGUCUCCUGCAGGCUUAGAUUAAGGUCAAGGUCUGGCAGCUGAUGGAUCUGCUGGAUUGAUCUGUCUGGGUAAACAUGUUGGAAAUGAGCAUGUUUGUGAUUAGAGGCUUAACAGAUGGUGUGUGUGAAAGUAAGUGGGCAGACUGACUGUACUACAUCAUGUAUAGUAAAGCAGAAGGAAGCAAUGUAAAUUCAUCUUUUUUUCAUCACAGUUCACGAGUUCGCCUACAUCCUGUCUUAAGAUGAUGAUGGUGAAGUAUAUACUGUCAGUUUAUAGAUGUGAUCUUGCUCCAGUGCUUAUGUUUCACUUUUUACUGAAAAAUGUGGUUUUCCAAAUAAAACAGUUAAGUAUAAUGAAGUCUGGUUUUAAUGAUGAAAGAUCAGAGGAGAAACAUCUUUUAUUAUUCAUUGUGUAUGCUUCUAUGCUGUAAACUCAGCUAUAGUGAUUUCUGUAUUUAUACUGGACUACUGUACAACACAGGUUUCCAUGAGGUUAGAAAAUUCCACGUUAAACUAAAUUCAUCUAAAAAAUGAAUUGAUGAUAAGGAUGUAUGUGUUUUUCUUAGUUAAGUUAAAGCUGACAGUAUGAAAGUACACAUUUCUGUGGUUAUGUUCAUACAGCCAGUGUUUGGGAAUGCACCACAGUUACACAGGAUAAUGAACUGUAUGAUUAUUUUAUACAUGCCAACACAAGGCAUGGUGAAAUGAUUACCAUUUGUAAGAGGAAAAGACCACACAUAUACUAAACCAUGAGUCCAGUGAGUAUCUUUAAAGGUGCAGUUUCUGAAUUAAGGCUGAAAUGACUGUUGGACCUCAGGGUUUGGUGAUUCAUAAUUAAAGUUUGUCUUAUUUCAUGCAUUAAAUUGUUCACAAAAAAGUGACAGCUGAUGUAUGGUUAAUAUACGGUUAAUUUAACCCUGAUUAAAGGCCCUUGGUUGGGCAGUGUAAAUAAAUGAUAUCAUGUUUUGAGGCUCA